rnacentral:misc_RNA from 1 species
UUUCCGUAGGUGAACCUGCGGAAGGAUCAUUACAGAGUUCAUGCCCUCACGGGUAGAUCUCCCACCCUUGAAUAUUUAUACCUUAGUUGCUUUGGCAGGCCGUGGAAACACCAUGGGAUCCGGCUUAUGCGUGCCUGCCAGAGGAAACAAACUCUGUUUUUAGUGAUGUCUGAGUCCUAUAUAAUAGUUAAAACUUUCAACAACGGAUCUCUUGGUUCUG